rnacentral:rRNA from 1 species
AUAGAAAUAAAUUUAAUAUUAAUUAUUUAAAAAAUUAAUUAAUUUUUUUUUCUUUUUGUAUUAAGAUUUUAAUUAAUAAAUAAAUAUAUUUAUUUGAGAUUCUAAAUAUUAAUAAUUAUUAAAAUAAAAAAAUUAUUAUUAAAUAAUUAUUUAUAAUUUUAUUAUAGUUUAGAAAGUAAAAUCAUUUAAUAUUAAAUAAUUAUAUAUUAAAUUAAUUAUAAUUAAAAAUUUAUUUUUAAAUUUUGAAAUUUAAUAAUUAUAAAGUUAAGUUUAUAAUUAAUUUAUAAUUUAUUUAAAAUUAUAUAUUAAAUAAAAUUAAAAAUUUUUAAUUUAAAUAUUUAAUAAUUUAGUAUUUUAUUUUAAAUUAAAAAAUUUAAAAUAUUUUUAAUAUAUAAAAAAAAUAAUAAAAUAUUUUUUAAAAUAAUGUAAAAAUAAGUAAUUAAAAAUUUUAUUUAAAUGAAUUAGACAAAAAAUUUUUUAAUUGUUUAUUAAAAACAUUGUUUAAAGAUUAUAAUUUUAAAUAUAUUCUGCUCAAUGAUUAAAAAUUAAAUAGCUGCAAUAUUUUAAUUGUACAAAGGUAGCAUAAUAAUUUGUAUUUUAAUUGAAUAAUAGAAUGAAAGAAAUCAUAAAAAAAUUAUUUUAUUUAAUUAAAUUAAUGAAGUUAAUAUUUUAGUUAAAAAGCUAAAUUAAUUUAAAAAGACAAAAAGACCCUAAAAAUUUUAUAUAAUAUAUAUUUAUUUGGGGUAAAUUUAAUAGAUAAAUUUAUUAAUUUUUAUUUAAUAAAAUUUUUAAAAAUUACUUUAGGGAUAACAGGAUAAUUAAAUUUUAUAGAAUAAAUUAAAAAUUUAGAUUAUUACCUCGAUGUUGAAUUAAUUUUACUAAUUGAAAUAAAAAUUAAUUUAGUAAGUUUGUUCAACUUUUAAAAAAUUACAUGAUUUGAGUUAAGAUCGAUGUAAAUUAGAUUGGUUUUUAUCUUUUAAUUAAUUAUAAGUUUAGUACGAAAGGAUUAAUUUAUAUUUUGAUAUUU